rnacentral:tRNA from 1 species
GCGUGUAGCUCAGGUGGCAGAGCACUUGACUUUUAAUCAAGUUGUCCGGGGUUCGAAUCCCCGCA